GCCCCUGACCGUGCGGCCCGCGGAGAAGCUCUGUCCGUGCAGGGAGCAGCUCCGGACCCGUCCCCAGGGCGAGGACUGGCCGCAGACGCGCAGAGACGAUGCGGUGGUGGCUCCAUUUUGCUUUCAUCGCAGCAGCGUCCAAAGGGGCCGAGGCGCAGGGGCGGCUGGUGGAGUCCGGCGGCGGGGCUGCGACCACCGGCGGCUCCAGGCGGCUCUCCUGCACGGGCUCCGGACUCACUUUCAGCAGCUACACCAUGUUCUGGUACCGGCAGCGCCCCGGGAAGGGGCUGGAAUGGGUCUCCUGGAUCAGCGGCACUGGUGGGAGCAAAGAUUACACUAACUCCGUGAAAGGGCGAUUCACCAUCUCCAGGGACAACGCCAAGAGCCAGCUGUAUCUGCAAAUGAGCCGCCUGGGACCCGAGGACACCGCCCGGUAUCACUGCGCUGCUAGAGACACGGCUGGAAAGAAAAUGCCCAGUUCCGACUUGAAUUACACCAAGGACCCAAUGGGAGCGCUCACUGGUCACUGCGGGCAGAACUGGCAACCCCGGAUCGGUGAUAACGAGCCUGAUUAAAAACAGAAGCGCCUCUACACCAGAGAUUCGUUUCUGCGGCCGGGAAAUUAUCCCUGGAUUUCCACACUGAUCCUCUUCAGGGUGCCCAAUUGCAGGUCCAGCUGGUGGAGUCUGGGGGAGGCCUGAAGAUGGCAGGAGAGUCUAUCAACAACUCGUGCAAAGCCUCCGGGUUCAGAUUUGGUGACUAUGCGAUGCUGUGGUACCGACGGGCUCCCGGGGGAAGACCAGAGUGGGUCUCUUAUAUUAACUGGGUUGGCUCUGACACGGAUUAGGCGGACUCAGCAGAAGGGCGAUUCACCAUCUCCAGGAACAACCCCAGCAAUUUGCUACACUUGCAAGUGAAGAGACUGAGAGUUGAGGACAGCGCCCUGUAUCACUGUGCGACACACAAUGAGGGGAAGCUGGUCUGAGCUCAGUCAAAAACCUCUCGUUCCUGUCACAGCCUCCCUGAGGAAGCACGUCACACCUCAAAGUUCAAUCACAUGGAUUUUAACCAAGUAUAAAAUGUCCUCAACUCUUUAGUCAUCACGUAGGAAAGUAUAAUUUUUGGAGCCCGGUGAAGGCUGCAAAGACACGCCAAGGCUGAGUUACAUUAGGAGAGCUACAGCCUCUAUCCCGGUCUCUGGCACACACCUCCCAACGUCCGCAACAAAUGGAGCAGGGGGGCUGCAGACAGCACCAGUCCCCUUCUUUGCACAGCCCCGCCUUACUCCCCUGCGGCUCCUUCUUGGGCACUGACUGCGGCAGAAGUCCUGAGGAAAAAAACAGUGUGUGAAGUCUUGUGUCAGUCCCGACCAGGGGGCAGAGUUAAGAUUACAUGGGCAACCUGAGUUCUGGCAUCUCCUAUCGUUCGAGGGCUUGACUUUGCCACCUUAACAUUCUUUUAAAAUAAUUUUUAAUGCCAUUUCCUUCCUGUACAGAAAAAUGGAAAAACAUAAAAAACACCCUUUCAGUCUAUAGAACCACAUUGACCUUCCCCCAGCUGAGUCAUCAGCAGAAUUGGCAUUUUCAGAGGUGCGCACUCCUUGUCUUAGAUUCGCAUGCCUCGACCUGGGUUACCAGUGUGCACCUGCUGUCCCGAGCCCUGCCAGUAGGGUACAGCACUUCCCCCCGACCUGAAUUGUACUGUGCGCCUUCUACCCUAGUACAUACCACUAGAGAGCAGCACUUGUUCUCUUUGGCGCGCUCCAGUCUGCGUGGGACCUUCAUAGGCUGCUGGAAUAUCGGACACUGCCCCCUUCAUUGCCCCCUGGUGGUGGAACAUAGGGCUCAGCACUGGGCCGGAGAUACAUUAUUAGGGAAAGAUGCUUUAGGGACCCUCCCCCGCACCCCUUUCCCUGCUAGGAGAUCUCAAGGUUGACAGCAUUUGGGGACAUGAUGAUAUUGCAAAGGGGGUCUUGGAAUACCCUCCUCCCUCUCUUCUUGUCAGCUGGAAUUGACACUCGCCUAUCAGGUUACAGGAGAUGUAGACUGCGCAGCUGGGUUUCCUGUGCCAAACCAAACAUCACAUUCACAUGUCCCUGACCUUGGAGUUCCCAGAGAGCAACACCGUAAUGCUCUGUAUGUCUGCAAUUACCAUCUAACUCCGUCCUCCAAAUUCCCAUUAUCCCUCCAAGUAACCAAAAACUGUGACAGCCUGAUUGAAUACUCAGGCCUGGGAAUUAUUUGCUUCUUAUGGAAAAAGAGGAAACACUCAUUGCCCCCCCCCCCCGCCCGCCGUUGGUAAAAGCGGUGCGAUCAUGUUGUGGGUGACUCUUAAAGGGAUGAUGUCACUACCCUUCUGAAGUGUUGGUCACUCAGGCCUGGACCUUAGUUGUCUCUGGUGGGAAAGGAGGGAGCAAAAUAAUUUUAUUUACUCGUUCUUUCAUUUAUUUAAUUGGUAAAUGGGAGUGGUGCAAUUUCUGACAGAGCGCACCUACAAUGUGAAUAACAGGACUGGUCUUCAGUUGUCUCCUGCCGGGGAGCGUGUGGAAAUCACCCCGGUAGUUCCCCCAAUAGGUGCCCUCUCUAAUGUCUGGACACCCGGCCGCCGGCGAGAACUGACAAUCCUCUCUUAACGCACAGGAUAUGUACAGGGAGGCAGUUGCAUUUCCCGGGUCACACCCGCCUUGUCCCUCAGCCUGCAGGAGAGCGAAGCUGCAUCCGCUGUGACACCGCAGUUAAGGGUUAAUCCUUCCCACCGCUAGGCCCUUAAGGGACAGUGAGAGUCGCCCUAACGUUAAGGCAGGUGGCUGUUAAAGAGCGAGCUAGUCUCUGUCUGAGCGAGAUACAGUGAGAGUGCAAGGCUGCGUGUGUUACAGGAAUGGCCGCGGGAGAGCGAGCGCGCUGCUUUGCAGAUUGUGAACGCCUCGCUCCCUGUGCCAGGGAGACAGCGUUUGACGCCAGGCGUCGCACAGUGUUUGCAGCCUCCUCUGGCUCUAGGUCUCAGGUUUCAGCAGAAGCUGCGGAGGGUUUCAGAGACUCUCC